ensembl:lncRNA
UAUACAGAAACAUCUGGAACAACAGCGGUGGAUGAAUUUGUCGGCACACUCAAAAAGCACGGCUGAGUCUGUCUGCACAAGAAGGGUGCUAUUUUCAAGCUGUCUACAUCCUUCUCCCAUCUACUUUGAACUACACAUUCAACACAAAGCUGUAUUUCUUCAAGACAGAAUUUCUGAAAGGCUUCAACAUCUUAAAUAUCAGGGUCUCUCACUGAAUUUGAAACUCAUUGAGUUGCUAUACUGGCUGAUUGAUGAGCUUCAGGGAUUUUUCAGUAUCUUUCUCCUCCAUCCUCUGCUGGAAUUGAACCACACUACAACACCUGGAUUACAUGGGUGCUGAGGAUCUGAACUCAUAUCUUCAUGCUUGCCCUGCUGGCAUGUUCCCCACUGAGGUGUUUCCAUGGGCACUCUCCUUAAAACUUGUGACAGUGACUUUCCUGAGCCUGGUUUUGACCUCAUCAUCUGUACCUACAUGACCACGAAGGAGAACAAGUCCAGGCUGAUUAUCUGACCCUCAUAUUACAGGAAGCAUCUUGUAACAUUUCCUGCCUGACUAGGGUUACAAGGAAAUCUUUGCAAAUUACCAAGUAGGUACAGUUAAAUGUGGCAACUAUUAGAAACAGAACCGUCCUGAUCACAGCCACUUUCAGAAAGGACAUGGUGGGGAACUUCAAAGUUUGGGAUAUUCUUUUUCUCAGUGGACCCAUGCCUACCUCUGUGACAAAGAACUAGACCUGAUUCAGGCUGUCUAUGGGUUACUCAGAACAUGUGAGGUUCUUUAGUGUAAAUGUCAUGUUCAGCAUAGCGAUAUUGUGGAAUUGCUUGAAGUUUGGUCUCAUCCUUCCAAACAUGAAAUGAAUUGCAUCAACCAUCUCUAGGCUUCUUUGCACAAAUUCUCUCUCUCUCUCUCUCUCUCUCUCUCUCUCUCUCUCUCUCUCUCUCACACACACACACACACACACACACACACACACACACGCACACGCACACGCACGUGCACACACACAAUAGCUCAUGUCAACUCAUCUUCUCUAAAGAAGUUAGCAGCAGUUAAAAUUGCAUCUGACUUUCUCAAUAUUCUAUGUUGUGGUCUGUUCAGACAGCUAUCACAAAUACCACAGAUUAGGCAGUUUGAAAACAUCUAUUACUCAAAAGUCUGCAUUGGGAAUUCCAAGUAAGGAUGCUGAUAGAAUCAGUAUCUAUGGAGAGGUCUGACUUAUGUGAAAAAUAAUACCAUAGGAAGAAGUAUACAUGCCCUCUUGGGUCUCUAUUAUGAGGACAUUAAUUCAUUCCAUGAGAACACAUCAUGGCCUCCUCCCAGAAUCUAGUCUUUCAAUAUUAUCACUUACUGCAUGAUAAUUUGAACAUUUUACUUUCUGAGGGCCAUAGAUAUUAUUCUGUGGUACCUUUCUUUCCCCAUAUCAGCAAUUGAGUAUAAGAUCUGAAAUGACAUUGUGAAAUACUCUUAAAGUGGUUGGUUUUUACACAGUACAGAAGCAAACAUGAUGUGCUAAAUGGAUUCAAGAUUUGUUUGUGGAGCUACAGUCAAUGAUUCUGG